GACGAACGCUGGCGGCGUGCCUAACACAUGCAAGUCGAACGGUGCACCUUCGGGUGCUUAGUGGCGAACGGGUGAGUAACGCGUGAGAAACCUGCCUUUCAGUGGGGGACAACAGUUGGAAACGACUGCUAAUACCGCAUAAUGUUAUUUAAGGGCAUCCUUGAACAACCAAAGCUUUAUGUGCUGAAAGAUGGUCUCGCGUCUGAUUAGCUAGAUGGCGGGGUAACGGCCCACCAUGGCGACGAUCAGUAGCCGGUCUGAGAGGAUGAACGGCCACAUUGGGACUGGGAUACGGCCCAGACUCCUACGGGAGGCAGCAGUGGGGAAUAUUGGGCAAUGGGGGAAACCCUGACCCAGCAACGCCGCGUGAAGGAAGAAGGCCUUCGGGUUGUAAACUUCUUUUACCAGGGACGAAUAAAAUGACGGUACCUGGAGAAAAAGCAACGGCUAACUACGUGCCAGCCGCCGCCGUAACAC
rnacentral:rRNA from 1 species